CUUAAGGAAUUGACGGGGCCGCACAAGCGGUGGAGUAUGUGGUUUAAUUCGAUGCAACGCGAAGAACCUUACCUGGUCUUGACAUCCCGGAGACCCUUAGGAAACUAGGGGGUGCUUCCAUCUGGAAGAAUCUGGAGACAGGUGCUGCAUGGCUGUCGUCAGCUCGUGUCGUGAGAUGUUGGGUUAAGUCCCGCAACGAGCGCAACCCUUGCCUUUAGUUGCCAGCAGUUCGGCUGGGCACUCUAAAGGGACUGCCGGUGUUAAACCGGAGGAAGGUGGGGAUGACGUCAAGUCCUCAUGGCCUUUAUGACCAGGGCUACACACGUACUACAAUGGCCGAUACAAAGGGCAGCGACACUGCGAGGUGAAGCCAAUCCCGUAAAAUCGGUCUCAGUCCGGAUUGGAGUCUGCAACUCGACUCCAUGAAGUUGGAAUCGCUAGUAAUCGUGGAUCAGCAUGCCACGGUGAAUACGUUCCCGGGCCUU
rnacentral:rRNA from 1 species